UGCCAGCAGCCGCGGUAAUACGUAGGGUCCAAGCGUUAAUCGGAAUUACUGGGCGUAAAGCGUGCGCAGGCGGUUGUGCAAGACCGAUGUGAAAUCCCCGAGCUUAACUUGGGAAUUGCAUUGGUGACUGCACGGCUAGAGUGUGUCAGAGGGGGGUAGAAUUCCACGUGUAGCAGUGAAAUGCGUAGAGAUGUGGAGGAAUACCGAUGGCGAAGGCAGCCCCCUGGGAUAACACUGACGCUCAUGCACGAAAGCGUGGGGAGCAAACAGGAUUAGAUACCCUGGUAGUCCACGCCCUAAACGAUGUCAACUAGUUGUUGGGGAUUCAUUUCCUUAGUAACGUAGCUAACGCGUGAAGUUGACCGCCUGGGGAGUACGGUCGCAAGAUUAGAACUCAAAGGAAUUGACGGGGACCCGCACAAGCGGUGGAUGAUGUGGAUUAAUUCGAUGCAACGCGAAAAACCUUACCUACCCUUGACAUGCCACUAACGAAGCAGAGAUGCAUUAGGUGCUCGAAAGAGAAAGUGGACACAGGUGCUGCAUGGCCGUCGUCAGCUCGUGUCGUGAGAUGUUGGGUUAAGUCCCGCAACGAGCGCGACCCUUGUCUCUAGUUGCUACGAAAGGGCACUCUAGAGAGACUGCCGGUGACAAACCGGAGGAAGGUGGGGAUGACGUCAAGUCCUCAUGGCCCUUAUGGGUAGGGCUUCACACGUCACACAAUGGUGCAUUCAGUUAAUACGACUAC
rnacentral:rRNA from 1 species